rnacentral:miRNA from 1 species
UUGGCUGCUGAGCCUGAACAGGCU